ACUGCGCCCUUGUUUGGACAAGACGAGGAGGCGCACUCAGAGUCAGAGACCCCGGGGCAGAGACAGGGGCAAGAAGAAGGGGCCACCGAGACCCCAAGAGAGUCAGGGAGACAGACGCACCAAACGACCGACACAACCAGGGACAGGCUGGAGUGAAAUGACAUGAUCUCAGCUCACUGAAACUUCUGCCUCCCAGGUUCAAGCAAUUCUCCUGCCUCAGCCUCGCGAGUAGCUGGGAUUACAGAUAUCCUUCGAGUUGGAUUUCGACUGGGUUCUGCCAGUGGGAUGUAUCCAUGCGAGAUUCUGGAACUAACAUCAGAGAGAGUCCAAGCUUCUAACUUUUAUCAGCGGCAGUGACAAUAGUCAAGCAGCAUUGAUGACAAACGGCAAGAGUUUAGAAAGUACCAGUGACGUGCCUGAUAGAAUCUCACCACAAGAUGGAAGCCAACUCGUCAGAAGCCUGGAAAGCCCACCCAGCGUGGGACCUCUGUGGGUCCAGGAUCUUGGAAUGGUAUCCCAUGGUUCAAUCUUCUGGAUUCAACCACAUAAAUUUACCCCACCCAUGUCGUGGACCCAAGCUUCCUACCAUGUAUACUUAGCUUAAAUGCAAGAUAGUACUAUUUUGUUCAUCUUGAUUGGAGUGAGAAAUGAAUAGGUCCAUGCACAUAUAUUUCUUUUACCACAACAAGAUGAUGAAGAAAUAAAUCCAUAAUAUCGAUACUUUUGUAUAAGUUGUGUUUACAGUUGCGGUAAGAAAUUUUAUAAUUGUUGAUUUGCUUUAUAUAAUUUCUGCUUGCUUUUUAUGAUAUUUAAAACAAAAUCUAAGCAACAAAUUUUAUGUCUGAUUAGAUUUACAGAAGCUGCUUAAGUGCUUAGGGAUAAUUUGUUCAUCAUAUUUGUAAGUCUCCCUUGUUAGGUGUUUGAAGUGUUUGAAUUGGCUAAAUUAAAUUUGUAAUUGUAGUUUGAAAUAUCUAAAGGAAUUUUCUUAAUUAAGUGUUUAAAUGAUGUUAAAAGUUUGUGGGAAUUUAAUCUAUCAAAUUUAUGAGUUAAUUGAAUAUGAAUCAAUGAACAAGUAAAUGUGAUCUUGCUUUUAUAUAAAAACUACUAAGUUCAUAAAUAAAAUACAAAGAUCCAUAAGUUGAGAGGAAAAGCAAAAGAGCCAGAUUCUAAGAUCUAUAACUUAAAAAAAUUAAAUAUUGAUUGAAAUGUAAGUCAUUGCAAUUAUCCCCACUAGCUGAAAUCUCACAUCUGAGUGCUUACACACAAAACAAAAUGUUACCCUGAACAUACUAAACAAAUAAAAAACCACGUGGUAAUUACUAUACACAUGCUCACUGCUGGAAGCAUUCAUACUGCACUCAAAUCCAGGUGGGAGAAUGCAGCGUGUGCUACAGGUGAAUCUCGGCUGUUCUCUUAUGGGGAUCAGGUCUUUUUCUUAAUUAUCUUCCACGGAUUUUUCUUCCUUUACCCAGAGACCUGGAGGCCCUCCCAGCCCAGGUCCAAUUCAGAUGGAUACAUACUUAACAUCACUAACCUAUUGAUUUGCUUGUUUAUUUACACUGCAGCACAUGUUUGUUGUGGUGCAGAAGGAAAACCUCCUUCACAUCUUAUACUGAAUAAUAUCAAUGCACAGAAACCUACCCACUGAUUGUUUGCUUAGGGUUAAGUUACUGGGUGAUUUUAAAAUAAUAACAAUGUUUUUAUUUGCUUCCAUUAAAACGCUUUGUUUUAG
ensembl:lncRNA LINC01778 long intergenic non-protein coding RNA 1778